rnacentral:rRNA from 1 species
AUUCCAGCUCCAAUAGCGUAUAUUAAAGUUGUUGCAGUUAAAAAGCUCGUAGUCGGAUUUUGGCAUCACGCCGAACUGUCUGCCGAUUGGUAAGUACGGUUUGGCGGGUGCUUCCUUCCGGAGGCUCGUUCCCUUCUUCAUUGAAGGGUUCGUUGGUUCCGGGUCUUUUACUUUGAGAAAAUUAGAGUGUUCAAAGCAGGCCUAUGCUCUGAAUAGGUUAGCAUGGAAUAAUAGAAUAGGACUUUGGUUCUAUUUCGUUGGUUUCUAGGACCGAAGUAAUGAUUAAUGGGGACAGUUGGGGGCAUUCAUAUUUCAUUGUCAGAGGUGAAAUUCUUGGAUUAACGGAAGAUGAACUUCUGCGAAAGCAUCUGCCAAGGAUGUUUUCAUUG